rnacentral:rRNA from 1 species
UAGGGAAUCUUCGGCAAUGGGGGCAACCCUGACCGAGCAACGCCGCGUGAGUGAAGAAGGUUUUCGGAUCGUAAAGCUCUGUUGUAAGAGAAGAACGUGUGUGAGAGUGGAAAGUUCACACAGUGACGGUAACUUACCAGAAAGGGACGGCUAACUACGUGCCAGCAGCCGCGGUAAUACGUAGGUCCCGAGCGUUGUCCGGAUUUAUUGGGCGUAAAGCGAGCGCAGGCGGUUUAAUAAGUCUGAAGUUAAAGGCAGUGGCUUAACCAUUGUUCGCUUUGGAAACUGUUAAACUUGAGUGCAGAAGGGGCGAGUGGAAUUCCAUGUGUAGCGGUGAAAUGCGUAGAUAUAUGGAGGAACACCGGUGGCGAAAGCGGCUCUCUGGUCUGUAACUGACGCUGAGGCUCGAAAGCGUGGGGAGCAAACAGG